GGAGCCGUGCCUGAAGCAAAGGAUCACUUUGAUAGAGUGAACAAUGAAGGUUAGAGUCCUUCCGACUCCU
rnacentral:tRNA from 1 species